GUAGUGGAACUACUGAGCUAAAUCCCUGGCCCCUGUGUGUUAUAAUUUUUAAAAAGAAAUACAGUGAAUGCCGCUGCUGAGUGGCAUUCAGUGGAAAUGCUAGCUUCUAAAAGCUAUGGUGGUGUAUUCUCACUGACUUCACUCACUGGAUCAGGCACUGCAGGACUUCUGGUUCUUCCCUAAAGUCAAAAUGACCAUGAAAGGUAAAUGUUUUGAAUCAAUUCACAACAUGAAGGCAGCCAUGACAAUGCAACUAAAAAUACAAAAGAGGACUUAUAUUCACUGUACAUUUUGAUCACCGUGUGUGUGCAUGUGCGCGCAAGUGUGUGUGUUUUAGCACAAGUGCUGCUUAUCUGAAGUCCAAAUUUACCUUCACAUCCUGCGUUUAUCAGGCAACCCUUGAGGAGGAGCACUUGGCGGGCUCCGGAGGUGGGCAGAGGGUGCCAGAGAGCCAGAGCUGGCACUGGCAGACACAGAGUGGCCAGCAGACCCUGACCACCAGCUCCCUGCCCUGGGCUCCUGUGACACUCAGCCACCUGCAGCUGCAGCCCCCGAGGCCUUGAGCAGCUUCCCAGCCCUCCCUUGGGUCCUGCUUGGCAGGCCCUGUAUUUAUUUAUGUUUUUAAUGAAAGCAAAUUAAGAUUCGCUGACUCUUGAGAACUGCAACCUGAUUGUUCGCAUGAUAAGCAGAGGCACCUGGCUUUCCUCUCCGCCAGGCUGGGGGGUCACCUGCUAGCUUUCCAGGAGGCUGGUUCCCACAGGCCGCUUUUCAAUCCAUCAUCAAAUCUUUAUCAAAUGUCUCAGCACGAAGGGUGGCUGAGCCAGCUGGGCUCCCUGCCUGAAUCACUGCGGUCUCCUUGGGGUGCUGGGGGCAGACAACAGCACUAUCUUCAAUGCAGCACAGCCACCAGGUAGGGAUGACUGUCCCCACACAGCAGAGGGGAAACUGAGGCUUAGGACGGUGAGGAAGAGCACAGGGCUGAUUUGUUGAUCUUUGAUUCCAACACAGAUCUCUCAGACAGACCCAAGAUUUCUCCUCAGCACCAGGAGGAUGUUACAAAUUCUGCCCCAAGCUGGGUGUGGUGGCUCACAGGCCUGUAAUCCCAGCACUUUGGGAGGCUGAGUCCUGAAGAUGGAACCUAGGGCCUCCCAAGCACUCUACUGCUGAGCGGCCCCUCACCCCUUAAGGUUUGCCUUGUGUUUGAAUAUUGCUACUCUGUGACCUCAGAGUCACAAAGCGACUGGUAUGUGUAUGAUAAUGAAAUCUGUGAACCUUCCGAAUCCACCUUUGAAAUGGGUAAGAGCUCCAUUAAAAACCAUGGGUGCCGGGACCCUGCUAAAUGAUUCCCUAAAGAAGGUGGGAUGGAGGUGUCCUUAGGAGUUAGCCUUCCAGAGAGCCGCCCUGCCCCCAGGUUGCUGGGGAGAGGGGAGCACUUCUCUGUGGACGCACUUGGUGUGAAUCCGCUGCCUCCUCCUGGGGGGGCUCAGUUACAGCCCCACCCCCUGCAGGCUUGGGCCGGAACAACCAGGCGCUCUGCUCCUCUGGAGGCAGGGUUGGCUCCACGGGCUCUGGGGAGCUCAGGCAUCCUGGGUCCAGGAACAGCAGGCCCAGAACCCAGUGUGAGCUGCUGGUCUCUAGGUCUCUCUGUCAUUUGCCCCUUGCCACCUUGCCAUGGGGUCGUACAGGGAAACGGCCAUCUGUGGCUCCUGAACUUGUUUUAGGUCCUGAUAACAGUGAGGGUCCCUUGUCCUUGUGUCCCCUACCUCCUGGUGCUGGGGACGGAACCCAGGGCUUCAUGCUCACCCAGCAAGUGUUCUGGCUAAGGCCACACCCUUAAACCCCAGUGGUGAGAGAAAUUGCAAAAGAUUUCAUUAAGAUCAAACGAAGGAACCUUUAAAAAUAUACCAAUAAUUGACAUCCCCU
ensembl:lncRNA